CCGAAAUUUAAUUUGGGAUCUGAUCUUAUAUAAUAAAAUUCUACAGUCAUCCAGGAUUAGAUCUUUUUCUUUCUUAACUGUUAGACCCAAGUUCUCUCUCGUGAAUCUUCACAUCCAUUGAUCCAAAGUAUCAACAAUGGUUUGGUGAGCGUGAAUCGAACUCGACAAAGAUUUUUCCAUUCUCUGUGAUGCUGAGGUUCCUAUCAUCAAUUUCUCCAAUACUGGAAAACUCUUUGGGUUCUCCAAUUCUGGUCCAAAAGUAGCAGUACUCAAUAGCGAUGGGGGAUGUUGAGAGGAAGUGAGCGGCACCAACAGAAGAGACAUGCACCAAUUUCAGUUUCACGGUUUUAUGGUUUUCUAUUUCUAAUCCCUUUGAAGCUCUCACAUCCCUAAUAUAUUUGUUUCCUUUUUGGUCACUCUAUCGGUGGAGCUUUGGUUUUGAAGGCAGCUUCACAUCCUUGUAUUGAAGGAAUGCUGGAGGGAGUUGUGCUGACCUCUCCAGCUUUGCGUAUUAAACUAGCCCAUACAAUUGUUGGGGUUUCAACUCCACCCAAGCAUUGAGUUGCUAAUAAUACUAGAAACAACAUAUGUUUUCUUCCUAUUUAUUUGUUAAUUUGUUCCCUUUUAGUUAUCUUAGCAUAUAUUUUAGUAUUUUCAAUUCAGUAAUUUAUAUUUUAUGACUCAGUGGGUCUUAGUUUAUUUACCUUCAAUUUUAGCAUAUUUUGGUACUAAUGUCGCUGCAUGAGCAAUUUCAGAUUGCACCUAGAAUUGUUACCGCACUUGACAGUUGUUCGGAUAGGAACAAAAAUACGUGAGCUGUCCAGUCUGGUACAACUAACUUGUACGUACAGAGGUAGCAUGAUUCUGAUUAAAAUGACACUUGAGCUAUCUGGGAAAAAUAUAUAAAUAUUCACAUGAAAAGAAAAAAAGAGAGCUUUUUUUGGAUCAUCUUUUUUAACUUAUCCCUUAAAGCUUUCAGCUAUGGCGGAUUAAGCUCCGACGAGUGAACCGACGUGAAAAGGAUGCAGACCAACUCUUGACGUGAAGCCUUGAGUGCGACACACAGAGGAAUAGACAGAUUCAAGUCGAGUUGUCUAGGAAUAGUAAUCUCCACUUAUUUCUUUUAUUUUUCUUUUUUAAACGCUGGUGAUUACUUCCUAUUUCAUGUUAGUACGGAAAUACAUAUGAUUUCUUGGUUAAAUGUUAUUUUAUUCAAUCUUACUUUUACUAUCUAAUCUUUGGGUUUGAAUGUUUUUAGCAUGGAAGUGUUAUUGCGGUCACUGACAUUGAAAGGUGCAGUGAUAGUUCAAGCUAACAAGCAUGACAACAGAAGUUGCUUGAGGAUUAAAGAAAUUUAAUCCACUUGUUCUUAAUAGUGUUCCAUUGCCAUCAUCAGAAGGUAUGGCUAAUGUGCAUGUUUAAGUUUUUGAUUAAAUAUAGAAGUUAAGCUUGGUAAGAUAUUCAUUGCAAUUUAAUGCAUCGACACCUAUCCUUUUACACCUUGUGAGCACUUAGCAUUUUGUUGAAUAUUCACGUUGGGAAUUCCAGUUUAUCAGUAUCAUAUUUUAUCUUACUGUUUUCAAGUUAUUGCUUCGACAACUACAUUCACAAUUUAUCUCACUCUUAUCUAAUUAUUGUUGUGAUGCUAAACAGCUGAUCAAGUUUUGGCGCCGUUAUCGGGGAUAGCGUUUGUUUGAUGUUUACUUUUGUUUGUUUUUAUUUCAUAAUAUUUAGUUGCUACUAACUUGUUUUCUUUUUGUCGUUAUUUUCACAUUUUAUUUUAGGUGUUGUAUGACCUGAAGCAAUUCAGAGUUUAUUGUCGAUUUUGAUUAAGAAAUUGAAAGAAUUGUUCGAAGGAGACUUCGACAACAAAAGAAUAUGGCUUUGCCAAGAAACAAUGCAAUUAUAUCCCUGAUACAGAACUAAAAUGCUAAUGACCCACCGUUGCAUCAAGACGGUCAAAUACAAAACAGGACUAUACAAGAUUUUGUAGUACUUGUCUUGGAUGACUUACAACUGGGAGUUGUUAGGCCAGCAAUCAAAGCUGGAAAUUUUGAACUCAUGCCAGUAUGGCUCCAAAUGUUGAAUUCUAAUGGGAAAUAUGUUGGGCUGCCACA